AUUGAACGCUGGCGGCAGGCCUAACACAUGCAAGUCGAACGAGUGGCGGACGGGUGAGUAAUGUCUGGGAAACUGCCUGAUGGAGGGGGAUAACUACUGGACACGGUCGCUAAUACCGCAUACCAUCAGAUGUGCCCAGAGUGGAUGAGCUAGUUGGUGGGGUAACGGCCCACCAAGGCGACGAUCCCUAGCUGGUCUGAGAGGAUGUCCAUCCACACUGGAACUGAGAAACGGUCCAGACGCCUACGGGAGGCAGCAGUGGGGAAUAUUGCACAAUGGGCGCAAGCCUGAUGCAGCCAUGCCGCGUGUAUGAAGAAUGCCUUCGGGUUGUAAAGUACUUUCAGCGGGGAGGCGUUACCCGCAGAAGAAGCACCGGCUAACUCCGUGCCAGCAGCCGCGGUAAUUC
rnacentral:rRNA from 1 species